rnacentral:rRNA from 3 species
AAAUUGAAGAGUUUGAUCAUGGCUCAGAUUGAACGCUGGCGGCAGGCCUAACACAUGCAAGUCGAACGGUAACAGGAAGCAGCUUGCUGCUUUGCUGACGAGUGGCGGACGGGUGAGUAAUGUCUGGGAAACUGCCUGAUGGAGGGGGAUAACUACUGGAAACGGUGGCUAAUACCGCAUAAUGUCGCAAGACCAAAGAGGGGGACCUUCGGGCCUCUUGCCAUCAGAUGUGCCCAGAUGGGAUUAGCUUGUUGGUGAGGUAACGGCUCACCAAGGCGACGAUCCCUAGCUGGUCUGAGAGGAUGACCAGCCACACUGGAACUGAGACACGGUCCAGACUCCUACGGGAGGCAGCAGUGGGG